rnacentral:rRNA from 1 species
GUUGUAUGGUUAAGUGACUAAGCGUACACGGUGGAUGCCUUGGCAGUCAGAGGCGAUGAAGGACGUACUAACUUGCGAUAAGCGGUGAUGAGGCAGUAAGAGCCACUUGAGUCACCGAUUUCCGAAUGGGGAAACCCACUGGCAUAAGCCAGUAUCGCUGCAUGAAUACAUAGUGCAGCGAAGCGAACCGGGAGAACUGAAACAUCUAAGUACCCCGAGGAAAAGAAAUCAACCGAGAUUCCGAAAGUAGCGGCGAGCGAAAUUGGAUUAGCCCUUAAGCUUUACAUGCGCUAGACGAAUGGUCUGGAAAGGCCAACGAUACCGGGUGAUAGUCCCGUAGUUAUAGGCGCAUGUUCAGUGAAAUCGAGUAGGGCGGGACACGUGUUAUCCUGUCUGAAUAUGGGGGGACCAUCCUCCAAGGCUAAAUACUCCUGACUGACCGAUAGUGAACCAGUACCGUGAGGGAAAG